UACGUAGGGUGCAAGCGUUGUCCGGAAUUAUUGGGCGUAAAGAGCUCGUAGGCGGUUUGUCGCGUCUGCUGUGAAAACUGGAGGCUCAACCUCCAGCCUGCAGUGGGUACGGGCAGACUAGAGUGCGGUAGGGGAGACUGGAAUUCCUGGUGUAGCGGUGAAAUGCGCAGAUAUCAGGGAGGAACACCCGGUGGGCGAAGGCGGGGUCUCUGGGC
rnacentral:rRNA from 1 species